UCGGGAAUUUUGGGCAAUGGGCGAAAGCCUGACCCAGCAACGCCGCGUGAGGGAUGAAGUAUUUCGGUAUGUAAACCUCGAAAGAAUGGGAAGAAUAAAUGACGGUACCAUUUAUAAGCUCCGGCUAACUACGUGCCAGCAGCCGCGGUAAUACGUAGGGAGCAAGCGUUGUUCGGAUUUACUGGGCGUAAAGGGCGCGUAGGCGGCACGGUAAGUCACUUGUGAAAUCUCUGAGCUUAACUCAGAACGGCCAAGUGAUACUGCUGUGCUAGAGUGCGGAAGAGGCAACCGGAAUUCUUGGUGUAGCGGUGAAAUGCGUAGAUAUCAAGAGGAACACCUGAGGCGAAGGCGGGUUGCUGGGCCGACACUGACGCUGAUGCGCGAAAGCCAGGGGAGCAAACG
rnacentral:rRNA from 1 species